CGGGGCACCCGAGAAAGGCGGGGCUGUAAGCGCCCUCCUUGCAGCGACUGGCGGGCCUGCGAGGGGGCGGGGUUUCCGGCGGCAGUGCACUCGGGCAUCGACUGACGCAGAGUGGACGGGCGUCACGUGACACGGAAGUGACUCCGAACAGGAAGAGGACGAGAAAAAUAACCGUCCGCGACGCCGAGUGGAAGUGGAUUAGAGCCACCAUGAACAGCAAAGGUCAAUAUCCAACACAGCCUACCUACCCUGUGCAGCCUCCUGGGAAUCCAGUAUAUCCUCAGACCUUACAUCUUCCUCAGGCUCCACCCUAUACUGAUGCUCCACCUGCAUACUCAGAGCUCUAUCGUCCAAGCUUUGUUCAUCCAGGGGCUGCCACAGUCCCCACCAUGUCAGCUGCAUUUCCUGGCGCCUCGUUGUAUCUGCCUAUGGCCCAGUCUGUGGCUGUUGGGCCUUUAGGCUCCACGAUCCCCAUGGCUUAUUACCCAGUUGGUCCCAUCUAUCCACCUGGCUCGGCAGUGCUGGUGGAAGGAGGGUACGAUGCAGGUGCCAGAUUUGGAGCUGGUGCCACCACUGGCAGCAUUCCUGUGAGUAUGCCUAACCAAGAGCUCAGCCCUCGUGCACUUGAACCGUCUGAAAUGACUUCAUACUCAUUCUCCUACCAUCCCAGGGUAGUAGUAGUCAGGACUGGCACAGCUGCUGCCCUCUCAUGACAGAAAUGUGGCUGGGCCAAUCAGGGCAUUGGGCACAGUCCUUAGAGUUAAUCAGAUUCAUUUGUCUUCUUUUUUCUUUUUUUUCAGAGCUGGGGACCGAACCCAGGGCCUUGCGCUUGCUAGGCAAGCGCUCUACCACUGAGUUAAAUCCCCAACCCCUCAUUUGUUUUCUUGUCCUAUUAAAAUCCUGCUAGCGGGCUAGAGAGAUGGCUCAGUGGUUGAGAGCACUGACUGCUCUUCCAGAGGUCCUGAGUUCAAAUCCUAGUAACCACAUGGUGGCUCACAAACCAUCUGUAAUGGGAUCUGAUGACCUCUUCUGGUGUGUCUGAAGACAGUGACUGUGUACUCACAGACAUGAAAUAAAUU
rnacentral:lncRNA from 1 species